CCUACGGGAGGCAGCAGUGGGGAAUAUUGGGCAAUGGGCGCAAGCCUGACCCAGCAACGCCGCGUGAAGGAAGAAGGCUUUCGGGUUGUAAACUUCUUUUCAGAGGGAAGAGCAGAAGACGGUACCUCUUGAAUAAGCCACGGCUAACUACGUGCCAGCAGCCGCGGUAAUACGUAGGUGGCAAGCGUUGUCCGGAUUUACUGGGUGUAAAGGGCGUGCAGCCGGGAAGACAAGUCAGAUGUGAAAGCCCGCGGCUCAACCGCGGAACUGCAUUUGAAACUGUUUUUCUUGAGUACCGGAGAGGUCAUCGGAAUGCCUGGUGUAGCGGUGAAAUGCGUAGAUAUAAGGAAGAACACCAGUGGCGAAGGCGGAUGACUGGACGGCAACUGACGGUGAGGCGCGAAAGCGUGGGGAGCAAACAGGAUUAGAUACCCCAGUAGUU
rnacentral:rRNA from 1 species